AGUUUUCGGACUAAGAGACCGGCGCACGGGUGCGUAACGCGUAUGCAAUCUACCUUUUACAGAGGGAUAGCCCAGAGAAAUUUGGAUUAAUACCUCAUAGUAUAAUGACUCGGCAUCGAGAUAUUAUUAAAGUCACAACGGUAAAAGAUGAGCAUGCGUCCCAUUAGCUAGUUGGUAAGGUAACGGCUUACCAAGGCUACGAUGGGUAGGGGUCCUGAGAGGGAGAUCCCCCACACUGGUACUGAGACACGGACCAGACUCCUACGGGAGGCAGCAGUGAGGAAUAUUGGACAAUGGGCGCAAGCCUGAUCCAGCCAUGCCGCGUGCAGGAUGACGGUCCUAUGGAUUGUAAACUGCUUUUAUACGAGAAGAAACACUGCUUCGUGAAGCAGCUUGACGGUAUCGUAAGAAUAAGGAUCGGCUAACUCCGUGCCAGCAGCCGCGGUAAUACGGAGGAUCCAAGCGUUAUCCGGAAUCAUUGGGUUUAAAGGGUCCGUAGGCGGUUUAAUAAGUCAGUGGAGAAAGCCCAUCGCU
rnacentral:rRNA from 1 species